rfam:Agrilus planipennis Contig14254, whole genome shotgun sequence.
UUCCUCGUAGCUUAGUGGCAGAGCAAUGGUGCGUAAAACUAGGGACCUUGGUUCGAUUCCCAGCGAGGACU